rnacentral:rRNA from 1 species
CCCUACGGGGCGCAGCAGUGAGGAAUAUUGGUCAAUGGGCGAGAGCCUGAACCAGCCAAGUCGUGUGAGGGAAGACGGUCCUAUGGAUUGUAAACCUCUUUUGCCGGGGAGCAAAAAGCGGUACGUGUACCGCAUCGAGAGUACCCGGAGAAAAAGCAUCGGCUAACUCCGUGCCAGCAGCCGCGGUAAUACGGAGGAUGCGAGCGUUAUCCGGAUUUAUUGGGUUUAAAGGGUGCGCAGGCGGCGAGUUAAGUCAGCGGUAAAAUUUCGGGGCUCAACCCCGGCGAGCCGUUGAAACUGGCUUG